UACGAAGGGGGCUAGCGUUGCUCGGAAUCACUGGGCGUAAAGGGCGCGUAGGCGGCCAUUCAAGUCGGGGGGUGAAAGCCUGUGGCUCAACCACAGAAUUGCCUUCGAUACUGUUUGGCUUGAGUUUGGUAGAGGUUGGUGGAACUGCGAGUGUAGAGGUGAAAUUCGUAGAUAUUCGCAAGAACACCAGUGGCGAAGGCGACUUACUGGACACGUAUUGACGCUGAGGUGCGAAAGCGUGGGGAGCAAACAGG
rnacentral:rRNA from 1 species